GCUCGAUUAGCUCAGUUGGUAGAGCGCCGUCAUGACAUGGCGGAUGUCGUUGGUUCAAGCCCAACAUCGAGCACCA
rnacentral:tRNA from 2 species